rnacentral:tRNA from 1 species
GGGGCUGUAGCUCAGCAGCAGAGCACUUGCCUAGCGUGCAUGAGGCACUGGGUUCAAUCCUCAGCACUA